rnacentral:rRNA from 1 species
UACGUAGGGGGCUAGCGUUGUCCGGAUUUAUUGGGCGUAAAGAGCGUGUAGGCGGCCAUGUAGGUCCGGUGUGAAAACUCGAGGCUCAACCUCGAGCCUGCAUUCGAUACUGGGCGGCUAGAGUCUGGUAGGGGGAUCUGGAAUUCCUGGUGUAGCGGUGGAAUGCGCAGAUAUCAGGAGGAACACCGGUGGCGAAGGCGGGAUCCUGGGCCAGUACUGACGCUGAGGAGCGAAAGCGUGGGGAGCAAACAGG